AAAAAAAAAAAGAAGAAGAAAAAGAAGAAGAAGAAGAAGAAGAAGGAAAGAAACUUGGAAAAAGACAAUUCCAGUAUACUUUCUGAAAGGAUCUUCAGUAAAAGACUAAUAAUCCAUAUGCUGCAACAGUACUGUCAGUCAGAGGAAGAAGGCUCUGAAAUGAAGUGGGAAGCUACACACAUCAGGACCACCAACGAGAAAGGUGAAGACAGCCCUGAAGCACACACAUCCAACAGAAUGACCGUGAUAUGGACUACAGUUCUUCACUCUGACAGCAUCAGAAGAAAGAAGAAACUGUGAUGAAUUCACCCUGUGUCCUCUACCACCUACCCCCUUUAACCCCUGCCUUAUAUCCUCAUCCUGCACCUCUGGAAGCUCAUUUGUUAGUGCAGUGCCAUGGGUUCUCUUAAUGACUCAACUCAGGGUGCUGGUUGGAGGCUGCUGGGUGCUCCCUCCAUAUAAUAUGUGUCCUAGCCCAGGCUGAGGGGGCAAAUCUGCUCCCUCUAGACUCUGUAUCCAUGUGAGCAGAAUGUCAAAACAUUUGUUGAAAAAGUUUGUGAAGAAUUGCUGCUGAGUUAUUCAGAGCAGGCUACUGAUGAUAAGACCAUGAAUGGGAACAAAAUACCUCACUGGCACAGCACAAGAAUUAAUCAUCUUGAAUCAUAAUAAUUUGUCAUAGGAAAAGAAAAAAACAAAACACUGAGAUUCAAAGGCAGUUUUACAGGAGUGCUUAUCCUGACAGAAGUGGCACGUGGAGCUGUGGGUAUUAUAGCAAGCAGCAUGGGAGGUGCCAGCCUAUGGGAAAUGUGCACACAACUAUCAGAAGGGCAUGCACUAAAAAGUAAAACAUUCAGAUGAACUUUCCAGCCAAACAUAGGCAGUAUUGUAGCUGAUGGCAAGUGUUUACCUGGCAGGAAAGCAGUAUGUGCUACUUGACGUUGGACAGUGAUGCACAAACCAAUGCAGUACAACAAUCUAAGUCAUUUACAGUGACAGAAAAGCCAAAGGAAGAAGACAGAGGCCCAUUACUGGGUAAAAGUAUGUCCGUUUUACAGCUUCCUCAGGAGAAGGAAAGGAGAAAAACAGCUUAAGAAAAAUCUCAGGAUUUUCCAUAGCAUAGUGACAAAUGGCACCUUUUCCAGUUUGUUAGCUAUUAUAUAUAUCUCCAGUAGGGAAAGGAUCAGUGGUACAUAUUUAUCUUUCUCCAUUUACCUUAGGAUGAAAGUCUGUAGAAAGGUAUGUGUGCCUUUUAGCACAAGGUGGCUGGUGCUGUAUAUUCCCUGCAUCUGUUGCCAGUAUGGAGGAAAAAAAUUGCAUGGGAUUUUGUUUAAAAGGAAUGGAAAGGUGAUUAACCCUGUGUUGAAUAAAAUUACUGAGAAGAACAUGGGGUAGUUAGCUAGGCAUGGAUAAACCCUCGAGAAAGGCAUGAGGAUAUUCUGCAUUGCCUGAAAAUGAAAAGCGACACAGGAAGAUCUAAGACUCAUCACAGGUGCCAAAAUGAAACUAAAUCAAGCCAAACCUCAAAAGGUUCCUCAAAAGCAAAGCAGGCUUUGCUUUACAUAGGCUGGAAAAACAAAACCACGUACCCUAUGCUAUUUUUCUUUCUUUGCUGAGCUAGCCUAAAUAGAAGAUAUUAUAGAUGAGUGUAUGUGUCAAAAGCAUUGGAUAAGUUGGGAUGCAGCUGACAUAAGUGUAAGUGACAGCGACAUUAUUUAGUUUAAGUAGUUUGCAGUUAAGUAUAGACUCAGACAUAAUCUUGCCAAUGGAACGGUUCCCACCCUAAUAUGUGAGUAAGAAAUGGUGCCAGAUUAAUAAACAGCUUAUUGAAGAGAAGCCAGAGCCGGAGCCUGAUCCACAUUUAGAGCAACUGAGUUUGAGAGCAGCAUCAGUGAUGCAUGGAGCUGUCACCUGAGGAUGUUUUUUCCUACAGAAAACUGAUAUUCAGACUAGCUGCAUUAUUAGACACCAGAGACUUGUAGAAAUAAAAGGUGGGAUAGCAAGGCAAACUCCUCGGUUAAACUCCCUGUUCAGGCCGCCGGCUGAGCAUAAGGCGGAUGGUGCAGAGGGGCUGUGCCGGCCUCAAGGGGGUUUUGCUUUCACUCUAAAGCAGCUCGGCCCUGCACACGCCGUGCCCUCGCCAUGCCGCCAUGACGCCGCUGGGUGUCGCCCACGCUGAGGCCGCGGCGCGGAGGCGGGGCGCGUGGCGCUGCACAAAAGGAGCGGCGGCCUUGUUGUGGUCGCCGCCAUCUUGGCUCGCCGCCUGUCUCGUUGUGGGGUGGGAGGAGGCGGGGCGAAGCGGCCGCCCUAAGGCGAGGUUUAACCCUGCGGAUAAUGUGCGUCAGGAUGCGUCUUGUCCUUUAACGGCGCACUUGGCGGCGUAGCAACACCGUCAGGGUGGGCGGCUGAGGGAAAGUCUUGCCCACGGUUUUGCAUGAGAGGAGGAGCCUUGCAGCGGCAGUGCGUGGGGUUAAGAGCAGUUGGUGGCACAAAGGAAUGCAGCGUGCAGAGCGUGCUGGAGGCUCUGCGAGCAGCUGACGUGAUUUGCUGGGAAAUUGAAUUUGGGAGCACAGUGCAAAUCAAAUCAGGGACAGAAAAGUGAUAAGAAUGCUGAGCAAGGGCUUGUGCUGGGAAGCACGGAUGAAGACUGAUUUUGCAGCUGUAGGAAUGGCAGAGCAUGCCCAGCUGCCUGAAAACCAAAAUCAAGAGGUAAAAUCAUUUCUGUUGGAAUGCAGCUGGCCCACCUUCCUUAUUCUCUAAGCCAUCUUAGAGGGUAAAGGGGCUAUGAACUUUGCAGAGGUUCACAAGUAGCACCUGACAUCCCAGCAGUCUGCAAUAGGC